GACGAACGCUGGCGGCGUGCUUAACACAUGCAAGUCGAACGAAGUGGCGAACGGGUGAGUAACGCGUAUUCAACCUGCCCUUCAGAGGGGGACAACAGUUGGAAAUGACUGCUAAUACCGCAUACUGAAGGAGGGGAUUGCGUCUGAUUAACGAGUUGGAGGGGUAACGGCCCACCAAGGCGAAGAUCAGUAGACGGUCUGGUAGGAUGAACGGCCAAAUUGGGACUGAGACAAGGCCCAGACUCCUACGGGGAGGAGCAGUGGGGAAUCUUCCGAAAUGGAGGAAAGUCUGACGGAACAACGCCGCGUGAGUGAUGACGGCCUUCGGGUUGUAAAGCGCUGUUAAUCGGGACGCGGUACCGGAAUAGAAAGCCACGGCUAACUACGUGCCAGCAGCCGCGGUAAUAC
rnacentral:rRNA from 1 species